CAGUAGCCGCGGUAAUACGUAGGUGGCAAGCGUUGUCCGGAAUUAUUGGGCGUAAAGGGCUCGCAGGCGGUUUCUUAAGUCUGAUGUGAAAGCCCCCGGCUCAACCGGGGAGGGUCAUUGGAAACUGGGAAACUUGAGUGCAGAAGAGGAGAGUGGAAUUCCACGUGUAGCGGUGAAAUGCGUAGAGAUGUGGAGGAACACCAGUGGCGGAGGCGACUCUCUGGUCUGUAACUGACGCUGAGGAGCGAAAGCGUGGGGAGCGAACAGGAUUAGAUACCCCGGUAGUCCCUGUCUCUUAUAC
rnacentral:rRNA from 1 species